AUGGCCACUACAACUUGCUUGAGGAUUAUUUGUGAAGUUAGUAUGGGUUUUUGAUUAGUUUUUAGUUUUAUGAGCAGUUCUACUGCUAAAAUUAUUUCCUAAGGCUCCUACUAGCUACACAAAAUUGAAAUGAAUGGAAGAUAGAAAUGGAAAUAGAAAGAAAACAAUAGGCUUACUUGCUAGGUCUGUGUGUCCAAGUGCAGUAGGAGGAAUGCUUUGGAUUAACGCUAGCAAUAAUUGUUUAGGUUCUUGGAGCUGCUAAUAAUGGAGUUCAGAUAUUAAGGAAGAAUGGAAGAACAUAAAUUAAGA
rnacentral:lncRNA from 1 species